rnacentral:ncRNA from 2 species
UCCGCUGAAUUUAAGCAUAUCAAUAAGCGGAGGAAAAAAAAAACUUACAAGGAUUCCCCUAGUAACGGCGAGCGAAUCGAGAAUAGCCAACUUGAGAAUCUGGCGCCAUGGUGUUCAAAUUGUAGUUUGGAGAAGCAUCGUCAGUGGUGGAAAAGACCUAAGUCCACUGGAAGGUGGCAUGAGAUAGGGUGAGAGACUCGUUGUGCCCGGACCAUGUUGCACAACGAGGUGCUGUCAGUGAGUCAGAUUGUUUGGGAAUGCAGCCCCAAUCGGGCUGUAAAUUUUUUCCAAAGCUAAAUACGGGUGAGAGACCGAUAUCAAAUAAGUACCGUGAGAGAAAGAUGAAAAAGACUUUGAAAAGAGAGUCAGAGAGUACUUGAAAUUAUCGGGAGGGAAACGGAUGAGGGCUGGCGAUAUCCCCCUGUAAGAUGCGGAAAGGUCACAAGUUGGUUCACUGAUCGGCUCGGGGCGUUUACCGAUGCAGAUUGCAGCUGCCAAUGGUCUGGCUGUUGAUAUGCUCAAGGAGAUGCCGUCGAUGUGAUCAAGGUAGCCAGCAUGCUUCGUCUUGGCAUGCCUCGGCAUCUACGUGCUCUUGGCAUCGGCCUGUGGGCUCCCCAUUCGAUCUGUUUUGAAACAUGG